rnacentral:rRNA from 1 species
AACGAACGCUGGCGGCAUGCCUAACACAUGCAAGUCGAACGAGACCUUCGGGUCUAGUGGCGCACGGGUGCGUAACGCGUGGGAACCUGCCCUUAGGUUCGGAAUAACUCCCCGAAAGGGGUGCUAAUACCGGAUAAUGUCUUCGGACCAAAGAUUUAUCGCCUUUGGAUGGGCCCGCGUUGGAUUAGCUAGUUGGUAGGGUAAAAGCCUACCAAGGCGACGAUCCAUAGCUGGUCUGAGAGGAUGAUCAGCCACACUGGGACUGAGACACGGCCCAGACUCCUACGGGAGGCAGGAGUGGGGAAUAUUGGACAAUGGGCGAAAGCCUGAUCCAGCAAUGCCGCGUGAGUGAUGAAGGCCUUAGGGUUGUAAAGCUCUUUUACCCGGGAUGAUAAUGACAGUACCGGGAGAAUAAGCUCCGGCUAACUCCGUG